GGCAGUUAGACCUCAAGAGGAACUCCCUGGGCUGGAAGGAUCUUCAGAGGUCAUCCCAUCCCUCUCCCUGCCUCCAGGCAGGACGGCCCCUUCCCCAGCCAACCUGCACUCACAGGGGCCUCCCCAAGCUGCGGCUCUCCGAGGAAGGAGACUACCCAGCUUCAGCUUCCACACCUGAGCCCAGAGGCCUUAUUCCUCCAUCAGGGACAUUCUUGAGGGUCCCCAGCCCCACCCCAGCCCCAAAGGAGGCUGUUCGAGAGGGACGUCCUCCGGAGCCAACCCCAGCCAAACGGAAGAGGCGCUCUAGCAGUUCCAGUUCCAGCUCCUCCUCUUCAUCUUCCUCUUCCUCUUCCUCCUCCUCUUCUUCCUCCUCCUCUUCCUCUUCUUCCUCUUCCUCCUCAUCUUCCUCCUCCUCCUCGUCUUCCUCCCCUUCCCCUGCUAAGCCUGGCCCUCAGGCCUUGCCCAAACCUGCAAGCCCCAAGAAGCCACCCCCUGGCGAGCGGAGGUGAGUGCUGCCUUGCCUGAGAUGGAAGGAGGGUGGGGGAGUGACUUGUCCAGAGAAGGGGCCCUGGGGUGUGAGCUCCCCGCUGGGUGUCUCACGUGGCCUUGGGCAUCUGGUUGUGGGGGAGGAGGCACUUGCUCUCCUCUCCCCAUGCUCGUUGCACCCUGUUCUGG
rnacentral:sRNA from 1 species